rnacentral:rRNA from 1 species
AUACGUAGGUGCCAAGCGUUAUCCGGAUUUACUGGGCGUAAAGGGCGUGUAGGCGGUCUUGCAAGUCAGAAGUGAAAUUCCUGAGCUCAACUCGGGCGCUGCUUCUGAAACUGCAGGACUUGAGUGCUGGAGGGGAUAGCGGAAUUCCUAGUGGAGCGGUAAAAUGCGCAGAUAUUAGGAAGAACACCGGUGGCGAAGGCGGCUAUCUGGACAGUAACUGACGCUGAGGCGCGAAAGCGUGGGGAGCAAACAGGAUUAGAUACCCUGGUAGUCCACGCCGGAAACGAUGAAUACUAGGUGUAGGGGGUAUCGACUCCCUCUGUGCCGCAGUUAACACAAUAAGUAUUCCGCCUGGGGAGUACGGCCGCAAGGUUGAAACUCAAAUGAAUUGACGGGG